UUCGACCAGAUCACGUUGAAAAUCCGUUUCCCGUUGGAUCACCGAAGUUAAGCAAUUCAGUGCUUGAUCAAUAGCUAGAUAGGUGACCGCUUGGGAAAACCUGGUGCUGUAU